CUUUCAGCUCUCAGCGAUCACCUCGGCCUUCGAGUAAUAAAAAUCACCCACCUUCACACCUCUUCACGUUCCAACAUGCCCGCCAAGGCCGCCGCUAAGCCCGUCAAGCCCGCCACGAAGGCAGCGCCCAAGCCCGCCAACAAGGCUCCCGCGCCGAAAGCUGCUGCCGCGAAGCCGGUCGCCAAGGCUGCGCCGAAGGCCGCCGCCCCCGCUGUCCGCCCCGCCUCUGGCUCGUCUAACGGCGUGUACGUGAAGAACUGGGGCACCGGCUCCGUCGCCGACGCCACGAAUGUCUUUUCUGCCGCCGGCAAGGUGGUCAAGGUCCAGCUGCGCCGCCAGCGCUACGCCCUCGUCUUCUUUGAAAACUCUGCCGCUGUGAAGAAGGCCAUCGACCUCUUCAACGAGAAGGAGGUGCUCGGCCAGACUGUGCUGGUGGUGCCGGCAAAGGCCAGCCCCAAGCCGGACGCGCACGAGAACUCCUCGUGCGUGUUCGUCAGCCCCAUCUUCCGCCCUUCGACGACGAAGGCGCAGGUGAUGGAGCUGUUUGCUGGUGUGAAGGUCCAGCGCCUGCGUAUGUACCGCCAGAACUUCGCGUACGCCUACCUCGACUCCCCCGCUGCGGCGAAGAAGUUCGUGGAGGAGAAGAACGGCACUGCGUUCCGCGGCCACACGCUGCGUGUGGCGCUGUCGGCUCGCUCUCUGGAGAAGCUCCGUGCUCGCCAGGAGGUCGCCAAUGUCGUCAUUGCCGCUCACCGCCACUACAAGGUGCAUGAGCGUCAGUAAAUCGGCAAGGCACCUCCUUCGUGAUGCACAGCGCCCGGAUGCUUCGGCAGAGGGCGUGCCUCACGCCGCUUUCGCCUACACACGCGCGCACCUUAUCCGCCUUCUCACCUCCUGACCUUUCCUUCUCUUUGAGUUGCUCAUCUUCACCGCGCCCGCUGUACCGCUCCCUCUCUUGAAUGUUCCUUCUCUUGCUCACUGCGAGGGAGGGGCAGACAUAGAUAGGAAGAAACACUGAGACGGAGGGCAGUGAGGAUGUGUAAGGCAAGCGCGCGCGAGAGGGAGAAGUAGGGAGCGAGAGCGACGGUGCUCUGUGGCCUCCAUGUCUGCGUGUGUAUGUGUGUGUGUCUGUGCGGAGGAUGGCGGCGUGAGGGCGCAUUAAUGCCCCCUCCCCCCACUCCACCCCCAGCCGUUACCUCUUUUUUCUGUGCGACGUCCUGGCAUCACUUUUUUUCCGUUGUUUGGACGCACACACGUGCUCUCCCCGUCGCACAGGAGGAACGGCCCUCGCUGAAGCUAACCAGAAGGCAAUACAAGUAACGCGUCUCCCAUCCUUUCCUUUUCCUAAGUGUGCAGGCUCUCGCUUUCCCUCUUUUCGCCGCAUGACACUCCGCCCAUACCCUUUGCAUGGAGGGGAGGGAAAAGGGGUGGAGAGAGAGACGUGCAUGGGCCACGCGGACUGAUUUCUUUUGCGAUUUGUUUUCUUGUUUGUCAUGCCCUUCAUUUUCCUCCCCCAAACAAC
rnacentral:misc_RNA from 1 species